CCAACCAGAACAGAAGCUCCAUGCAAGCAGGGCUCCUGUCUUAGUCUCGCUCUGCUCCCUGCACGUGGGACGAUGCUGACAGGAAGCAGGUGCUCAUAAGCAUCUGCUGAAUGGAGACCUCGCGCCUGAACAGCGAGGUCCCUAACGUUAGUGAGUCCUCCAUGGUUAACGCUGUAUGUGACACUCUUCACCGAGCGCUCCUCUUGAAACUGUAUAAAGGGAUCUUUACUCCCGUUUCCACCGGUAAAGCAAAGUGAAGCGACUUGCUAACCCAUCCCACGCCCCGACGCAGCCCCGGGGGCGGCAGAGGGGUCCCGCCUGGCGCUGAGGGCGCAUCUGGACGCAGGAAGAGUCUCCCGCCCGCUUCCCGGAGCCGGGGGCGUUCCUUUUAGUGCCACAGGACUCCCCAGGGUUUCUUUCAGGAUCUGGAGAGGAGGGCUCGGAGGAGGAGAGCAUCUUCCCCCUUCAGUUAUGACGCCCAAAUCCGCAACCCAAGGAUGUAUGAUAAGAAGAAAUAGAAAGCAAAAAAAGUUUUUUUCAAAACCCCUACCCAAAGCUGUAGUGGAGUAUCGCUGUGUUGACUUGUCAAACGCUGGAGCGCUCGUUGUUUACAACUGUUCUUGGGAAAGAUCGGAGCUCUGGCAUUACCCCAG
rnacentral:lncRNA from 1 species